GGAACCCAGAAGUUUGAGAGAGUGUGUCUAGAGUUCUGAAGGUAGCAGUCAACUUAGAUAUCUACAUCCAGAAAAAAGUAUCUUUCAAGAAUGAGAGCGAAGAAGUCAUUUUCAGGAAAAAUCUAAAAAUAAAAGGAAGAAAUAUGCUACAAUUGGAUCACCUUAAAAGUCAUUCUGAAAGGUAGAUAAACUUCAGGAAGCUAGUCUGACAAAGGAAGGGAUGAUGAGCAGUCCAAGAUGAGACCCAAGGUAUAGUCUGGCCCUUUCUUCAAGCUAGCACUUGAAGUGGCUGCUGGGGAAGAAGAGACAACCUGCAAGCUGUGUAACCUUAUGAGCUCAAACGUCUCUUUCCAACAUGGGAACUGCAGUGUCAGCACUAGAAGCACCGCAUAACAUGGGCCCAUCAGUUCCUGCUCAAUGCAGACAGUAACCAGAGAGUUUCUAUGCUAUCUGCAGGAUACAUCUAUCAUGAGCCCUUUGUAACAAAUGGAGCCGUGAUUCCCUCUGCAGCAAGAUAGCCCCACGUUGCCACAGGGCUCCACAUCAGUAAUUGCUGGGAUCUUUGAAUGCGGUAGAAAAGCUAACCCAAUGUGAUUGAAGUCCUCCUAAGAAGAGGAGAUCAAUCAGGACGCAGACACACACUGGGGGAAGACCAUGUGAGGAUACACGGAGAAGGCGGCCGUCUGCAAGCUAGAGAGAGAGGCUUCAAAAGAGACUGACCCGGCCAACACUUUGAUCUCAAACUUGUAGCCUCCAAUGCUAUGAGGAAAUAAAUUUCUGUCACUGAAGCCCCCAGUCCGUCGUACUUUGUUAUGGCAGCCUUAGGAAACUAAUACAAUGCCCAGAAUAAAUGUAAUGUUCCUGCAAAUUCAUAACACAGAGAUUGGACUUAAUUUACAUAAUCUAGUGCUUAGUAAUUAUUUGAUGAUAAUGAUGAUGGUGAUGUUAAUCACAAAUAUAAAAGUUCAGCAAUGGUUCGAUCAUUUAUGUAGCUGGAUACCUGCAUCAGGGUGCUUGGAUUAUAUCUGAACAGCUGAAACACGAGCCUAAAGCCAAGCAGAGUGCUAUCACACUCUGCCGGACAUCAGACGGCCAGGGCUGAGUCCCAGGUCUGCUGACUAUUUACAGGGGAAAUCGCCUGGGUCAUUUUCUAUCCUGAACUUCAGUUUUCUCUGCAGAAAAAUAAG
rnacentral:lncRNA from 1 species